rnacentral:rRNA from 1 species
UACGUAGGGUGCAAGCGUUAAUCGGAAUUACUGGGCGUAAAGCGUGCGCAGGCGGUUAUGUAAGACAGGUGUGAAAUCCCCGGGCUUAACCUGGGAACUGCAUUUGUGACUGCAUAGCUAGAGUACGGUAGAGGGGGAUGGAAUUCCGCGUGUAGCAGUGAAAUGCGUAGAUAUGCGGAGGAACACCGAUGGCGAAGGCAAUCCCCUGGACCUGUACUGACGCUCAUGCACGAAAGCGUGGGGGAGCAAACGGG